rnacentral:rRNA from 1 species
AGUGGCGAACGGGUGAGUAACGCGUGAGUAACCUGCCCUUCAGAGGGGGACAACAGUUGGAAACGACUGCUAAUACCGCAUAAGCCCACGGUACCACAUGGUACAGUGAGAAAAGGAGAAAUCCGCUGAAAGAUGGACUCGCGUCUGAUUAGAUAGUUGGUGGGGUAACGGCCUACCAAGUCGACGAUCAGUAGCCGGACUGAGAGGUUGAACGGCCACAUUGGGACUGAGAGACGGCCCAGACUCC